AAGCUCGUAGUUGAAUUUCGGGGUUAGUAGGUUGGUCAUGCCUCUGGUAUGUACUGGUCUCACUGAUUCCUCCUUCCUUAUGAACCGUAAUGCCAUUAAUUUGGUGUUGCGGGGGAAUUUGGACUGUUACUUUGAAAAAAAUUAGAGUGUUUAAAGCAAGCUAACGCUUGAAUACAUUAGCAUGGAAUAAUGAAAUAGGACGUUCGAUCUUAUUUUGUUGGUUUCUAGGAUUGACGUAAUGAUUAAUAGGGAUAGUUGGG
rnacentral:rRNA from 1 species